AUUGAACGCUGGCGGCAUGCCUUACACAUGCAAGUCGAACGGCAGCACGGGUGCUUGCACCUGGUGGCGAGUGGCGAACGGGUGAGUAAUACAUCGGAACGUACCUUAUCGUGGGGGAUAACGCAGCGAAAGCUGUGCUAAUACCGCAUACGCCCUGAGGGGGAAAGCGGGGGAUCGAGAGGCCUCGCGCGAUUAGAGCGGCCGAUGCCUGAUUAGCUUGUUGGUGGGGUAAAAGCCCACCAAGGCGACGAUCAGUAGCUGGUCUGAGAGGACGAUCAGCCACACUGGGACUGAGACACGGCCCAGACUCCUACGGGAGGCAGCAGUGGGGAAUUUUGGACAAUGGGGGCAACCCUGAUCCAGCAAUGCCGCGUGAGUGAAGAAGGCCUUCGGGUUGUAAAGCUCUUUUGUCAGGGAAGAAACACCGGCUCUAACACAGUCCGGGAAUGACGGUACCUGAAGAAUAAGCACCGGCUAACUACGUGCCAGCAGCCGCCGUAA
rnacentral:rRNA from 1 species